UCCCGUCUUUGGCACGGAUGCCUGGUGCUUCUGUGAUGCGCUCUCGAAGAGUCGAGUUGUUUGGGAAUGCAGCUCAAAAUGGGUGGUGAACUCCAUCUAAAGCUAAAUAUUGGCGAGAGACCGAUAGCGAACAAGUACCGUGAGGGAAAGAUGAAAAGCACUUUGGAAAGAGAGUGAAACAGUACGUGAAAUUGUUGAAAGGGAAACGCUUGAAGUCAGUCGCGUCGACCGAGACCCAGCCUCGCCUUGGCUUGGUGUACUUCUCGGCACGACGGGUCAGCAUCAAUUUUGCCCCUCGGAUAAUGGCAGGGGAAAGGUGGCACCUUUACGGGUGUGUUAUAGUCUCCUGUCGAAUGCGAGGGGUGGGAUUGAGGAACUCAGCGCGCACCUCAGUGUCGGGGCUUCGGCCCACGUCACGCGCUUAGGAUGCUGGCGUAAUGGCUUUAAACGACCCGUCUUGAAACACGGACCAAGGAGUCCAACACGCCCGCGAGUGUUCGGGUGGAAAACCCGUGCGCGUAAUGAAAGUGAAAGUUGGGACCUCUGUCGUGGAGGGCACCGACGCCCGGACCAGACCUUCUGUGACGGAUCUGCGGUAGAGCGUGUGUGUUGGGACCCGAAAGAUGGUGAACUAUGCCUGAAUAGGGUGAAGCCAGAGGAAACUCUGGUGGAGGCUCGUAGCGAUUCUGACGUGCAAAUCGAUCGUCAAAUUUGGGUAUAGGGGCGAAAGACUAAUCGAACCAUCUAGUAGCUGGUUCCUGCC
rnacentral:rRNA from 1 species